UAACGACUCAGGAAUGGAGAUAUCCUUGU
rnacentral:piRNA from 1 species